CAACUGAUAACGCGUCGAGAGAGUAAUAUAUUCGCGAAUCCGAGCUGAACGUUUGAAAUUGGAAAAUGAAACGUGUAAAAAAAAUUUAAAAUCGACAAUUUAAAUUCUACUUGCAGUGCUACAACUAUGCGAAUAAUUUGUACAUUUUAAAAACAAUUUUAACAAAAAACGGAUAAAUAAUGUAACGGUUCAGACGGACAUACGAGCAUAAUUUACGGGCAUAAAUAUAUCACACGAUUUUCGUCGUUUGGAAUAAUCAGUUGGGAAUCGGAGAAACCGGAGAACUCUAUACACUGAAUGAUCGGCAAUUAGAGAAAGGACCGGGGAGAGUGCAAAGUUGGUUGGUCUGAGGUGAACCGCAGAGCCCGCGACUUCUCUAAAUAAAGGAGAAUAAAGAGGCGAGAGGGAAGUGAGUCACUCGUGGUGUACCGAUGACGAUGAGGAUGACAUCAUUUCUCUGGGACGAGUUUCAAAUUCGGCGAAUACGCGGAGGGGAGGGCGAAUCGCGAGGAAGGAAGGAGCCGGAAGGAAGCGAAUUUCCACUACGAAGAACCAUCUCGCUCUCGAUCUAACCACGAAGAAAAGGCGGUUCUUGGAAUGGAAAAUGGAAAAUUCUACUCGUAUUAGAUAUUAAAAGAAAGAAAAAAUGAAAAAUAAAUGGAAGGAAGGAAAUGAGAUUGCAUCGGAAUCAUAUACGCAUCGCUUUUCUGCCAAGGUUUAGCUUAACCUUUUAAAAAUUCGCAUGGCGGUGAUUCGAGCGAAACAACAAUUUCCAGAAGAAUAUAUACAUCCCAAAGGUAUUAAUUAUAAUCUGAAUUUGCAAUUUGCUUUCAUCCCCGGGAAACCUCGUUUUCAUACGAUUUCCGCACGCGUCCCUAUCGAGCAAUCGCACCAUCAACGAUCGGCCGCUGAAACGUUUAAUUAAAGCGGCGAGGAAUCGCGCAACGAGCGAGUUAUAAUAACUUUUAGCGUGGGUAUAUAUAUAUAUAUCGCGCGCUAUCAAUUAACCAGUGAUAACGAAGGGCGGAAGGAAUAAAGAAGAACGAGAAGGGGAAGAGCGAUCGGUAAAAUGAAUUGCUGGAGGGGCGAGGGGAGGGGGGAACGGAACACGUCGGUGGAACAACAAAAGCGGGAACACGUGUUACCUUUUGCCGGGGGAGUAUUUAAUUCUGAGCGCGUCGCUCGACGACAGAAUCCGGAACAAGUGUUGGCGCGCGCAUAUUUAUAUAACCGGCGAUCACAUCCAGCCGAGGGAACCGUUUAAUUCAAAUUGUUUUCGCGCGGUCUGGCCACUGUGGGAAACAUCUGGCUGGCAGGAAAUCGGCUCGUUUCGAUCAAACUUUCGUGCUGGAUAUAUGGAUAUUUUUUUACAUCGACCAAAUAAUUCGCACAUAGAAAGUUAAACGCUCGAGUCAAAAACCGAUCGAUGAAAUACGAAAAAUCUAUAAGAUAGAAAAAGAUUCGUAAUUCGUAAUUAAAUUAUAUAUACAUAUAAGUUGUGAAGAUUUAUUUCUAGAGAAUUUUCAAAAUUGGAAAAAAAGGAAAAGAAACGUUCUGUUGUCCGUCGAUCUAAAGGAGGUCAGUCGUCCUGCCAGACGAUGCAAGUACGUUGCUCCGAUGCUCAUAUAUACGGGCUCAUAAAAAUUAAAUGAACGCGGUGGACAGACGCGAGAAAGGGGGAAGAUAAAGAGCAAGGGAAAUGAAGGCGGGGGGUGGGCGGGGAAGUACGGGGGGGAUACCAGACGAAUGAAUGAAUCUCACGACUCACACGUGUUCUGCUUUGCUUAUUCAGUCCAUCGUCUGAUUCGACACGCAUUGGCCGACACACAUGCACCGUGUCGCAUUCCUGCUCGCGAGAGGAGCGCGAUGCUGUCUCGUGAACCCCGCUCGAUAUCCCCGCGGUUAUUACAUCGCUUUUGUCGCCGCUUUCGUUCGCAUGAACGAAACACGGACGAAAACGCACGCGAUACGCGAAUUAACACGGGGAGAGGUUCCGAAAAUAGAAACGAUGUAACAAGUACGAUUUUAUAGCAGUUGACGAGGAAGGAUGAGGAAAAUUGGCGGAUGGAAGCAGAUAUAUGCGCGAAUACUUCGUAUAAAAGGCGCAACUGUGCUUUCCUCCUCUUCGAGGGAAUCGAGAAGAGAGUCACGUGGCAACGUGACCGUGAAACAUUGUGUACACGUAUACGUAUAUUUGGAGCAUGCAAAAGUAUCGAAGUUAUCCGCCACGAGUUUCUCUCCAAGCUUUACGAUUUAUUAUUAAAAAUCAACGAGAUAGAAAGAGACUAGAUAAGGGGGAAGAAUUCGUUUCGAUUAAGAAAUGCCACAUAUGUUGCACUCGAAUUCCCUCGGGUUGUUACUUCCUCGUGGCAACAAAACGGAUCCCGUAUUCGAGGAAAUUGCAUGCCGUUACGCGGCGAAUAACGCGGUUGAAAAGACGCAAAACAGCGGAGAAACGCAGAUUCGAAAGAACGCUCCGAAGGAUUUCGUCAUCGCAGAUGCUCACUCGGAAUACUCCGCGAGUCACCGCUCGGACAAGUUUACGGUAAAGCGGCGCAUACCGAUCGCCCGAUUUGCCCGAUAAAUCGACCGUUCUCGAAUUAAGUCGUCGAGAGAGGAUGCUUCCUUAUAUGGAUCGGAUAUUUCUUUCGAUUUGAAAAAUAUUCCAUAAUCUAUUAACGAUUGAUAGUCGGUUAAUCUAAUCGCGCACGUGCGAUAAAACAUUAUUAACACGAAAUUAAAAUGAAAACUUCCAAAUUUUAGUUUUAUUUUUAAAAAGAUAACGAAACUUAAUUUAAAUAAUAAUAUAAAAAUUUUAUUCGUAAUUUUAACGAACGAUAUUUCUUGAACGGAAGCUUCGAAUUGUUCGAUUCACAAUUAGCUCCAAAGUACGCAUCUGUUGUCGCAAAAAUAAUAUAUAUUUUUUUCGCCGAGAACAAUAUGCAAAUUAGUUUAUUUGCGUCUGUGAGUAAGCAGUUAGCUCUUUAUGGGAUAAUUUAUCGCCUGUUCCUGAAUCGAAUUAAAUUAUUUCGUCGAACGAAAAAUAAGAUUUAGUUUGGAUAUACGAAGAAGGUGUGGAGAAGCGAUCACGAAAAAGCGUUACGUCUUGCACACUCUCUCCUCGGCCUUCCCCUGAAACGUGUAGCAGCACGUUUCAAUUGAUCUACGUCGGCGACGCGAAAUUGAACGAGACUCGAAAUCAAUUUCGAUGCGUCAACCGACGAGAAUUAUUUAUAUAUCGAUUGUUAUAUCGAUACAUUUGUCGUUUGAAAUUCGUUUGAAUCGCUCAAAAAUAGAUUCGAAAGGACAUAUCGCGCAUUAAUUAAAUUAUGAUGAUAAUUAUUAUAUAUAAAAAAGACUCGUGCAAUUAUUUGCAAUUGCAAAACGACCAAAUUGAUAACUACAUUCCCCGAGUAAGUACGUACGUUAUGUACGUAUCGCGAUAAGAUGACUCGUUAAUCGGUAAAUAAAAUAAAAUCGUAUUGUGCUUAUUAAUAUUCCGUUCAACGAUAUCUCGUGUUAUCAAACCGUAUUACCUUCCACGCUAUUUUCACUUUAAUCACGCGUGCGUACCUCGUGUUAGCGACACGAUACGAAGAUCUUGCGUUAUCGUGAUCGUAUGAAAAUAAAACAGACAAGGAAGAAAAGAACAAACGUAUCCGCGAAUGUCAAACAAUUUUCUAUUAUCCAUUCUUCCAACGACAUAUCGUUAUAUAUAUUUCAAUAUACUUGCUUCACUUUCGAAUUUCACCUCGAAUCGACGUCACUUCUUCAAAUCAAAUUUCAUAACAAUUCUCGUUUCCCAAAUUUCAAAAUCGAGUCGAACAAGCGUUGGACAAGCGUUCGAUUCUUAUCACCCAGCCGGAGGAGAACGGAGCACGAGGGGGAAGAGGAGAGAGGAAGGGGACAGAGAUCGGAGGGUAGCCCGGUUCGGCGAUACACUUUCGGAUCCUUUCACUCGGAUUUUUAUUAGGAACUGCGAGCGUUAGCCGAGCCGUAAUGGCGGCGUUGGACGCGGCGGCGGCGGCAAGGACGCGGCCGGCUGAAAGGAGCGACGAUAAAAGGAGGAUCCGUUCGAAAGGCACGAAGGCAGGUUAUCCCGGGCGCAGGACCGCUCGCUUUCGCCGCGUUUAAAACGGCCGUUCCCUGGCGAAUCUGCCAGCCAAUCAAAACUCGCCUCUAAACAACGCGUCUCACGUUUUCAUUGUUUGCUGCACAUCGGUGAAGAUGUUUGCGGCUGAUCCAUCGCUUAAAAGUGAAUUGCGUUUUGAUAUCGCGAGUCGUAAUUAAUAUCGUUGAAGAAAAUUUGAUAAACUGGAUUAAUUUAAUAUAUAUAUAUUUUUUUUAAGUUGAAACUGGAGAUCGUGAAUCAAAUCAAUUUAGAUUUAGGUUUGGAUCCAGUAUUCAAAAUACGAGUAAAGAUUCGAGUAAAAA
rnacentral:lncRNA from 1 species